GAUGAAGAACGUAGCGAAAUGCGAUAAGUAAUGUGAAUUGCAGAAUUCAGUGAAUCAUCGAAUCUUUGAACGCAUCUUGCGCUCCUUGGUAUUCUGAGGAGCAUGCCUGUUUGAGUGUCAUUAAAUUCUCAACUACACUGACUUUGAAUUGGUGUGGCUUGGAUUUGGGGGGAAAAUUGUUGUGGGCUUUUUGUAUAGUCUGCUCCCCUGAAAUUGAUUAGCGGUACCUUUGUGGAACUGUCUACAGGUGUGAUAAUUAUCUACAUCUUAGACAUCUGCUGGAAUGCUGCUUUCUAAACCUUACUUGUAUUGACAAUCUUGACCUCAAAUCAGGUAGGACUACCCGCCGAACUUAAGCAUAUCAAUAAGCGGAGGA
rnacentral:misc_RNA from 1 species